rnacentral:lncRNA from 1 species
CGAUAAUGGCCUCGAGCUCCACCACUGGAGAAGCUGGCGCCGCAGUCGGCGUGACGUGUAAUGAGGGAUCACGUGCACACAGCGGCCGCGUCGGCUGCUUCGGAAGCGCCGAAGCGAGCUGAAAACG